ensembl:lncRNA
CGACCUACCGCGCUGCCGCAGUCGGGCGGGAACCGAACCGUUAAACUGGCGGCGCGCGUUUUCCUGGACGUACGGGGCGCGAGGAGCCGACGCUGCCCCCUUUGGAGGUUGCGCCUGGCGACGAGGAGGCCGCGGGAGGCCUCUCUGAGGUGCUGACGGGCUCUUCCUGGACGGGGCGUGCCCGCAUGAACAGCCUUCAGGACCCCAGCCCGCGGUCCGACCUGCCUGAGACGGGGAAGGGGCGAGAAAGAAGUAUUUAGAAAGGGGACUCAAAAGGCCAGUAACCUCCAAAGAAGACUGUGUAAAGGCAAGCAAAAAAAAACUUGACUAGAAUGGUACAACUGAAGAUGGAAUGCCUCUUUGAAAAGGAAUCAUCUAAGCUAGAAGUGGAUGCUGAUGUAGGACAGGAAAAAGGGAUGAGUUACACACAGUGAACAGCAGGGGACACAAAAUUGAGAAGUUAUUCUCUACAUAGCAAUGCACAAUGAAAUCUCAUGUUGUAGUGGAAAGCAGAUGAAUUUUGGAGGCAGACAGACUGUUUGAUUUCACCUUGCUCCAUCACGUCAUAUUAAAAUGUAGAGACAUUACUUUGCCAACAAAGGUCCAUCUAGUCAAGGCUAUGGUUUUUCCAGUGGUCAUGUAUGGAUGUGAGAGUUGGACUAUCAAGAAAGCUGAGCACCGAAGAACUGAUGCUUUUGAACUGUGGUAUUGGAGAAGACUCUUGAGAGUCCCUUGGACUGCAAGGAGAUCCAACCAGUCCAUCCUAAAGGAGAUCAGUCCUGGGUAUUCAUGGGGAGGACUGAUGUUGAGGCUGAAACUUCAAUACUUUGGCCACCUGAUGUGAAGAGCUGACUCAUUUGUAAAGACCUGAUGCUGGGAAGGAUUGAAGGUGGGAGGAGAAGGAGAUGACAGAGGAUGAGAUGGUUGGAUGGCAUCACCGACUCAAUAAUGCUCCAAUGAGCAUCUUUGGUGAUGGACAACGAGGCCUGGUGUGCUGCUGUUCAUGGAGUCACAGAGAG